AUAAUUUUCACUUUUAUCAUAAAUGAAACGUGAAAUUAGGUUUCACUCUUUGAGAUUAGGAACGCGAAAUUAGGUUGUACUGUUAUCAGAACAGAAUUGUGUGCCGUCACUUUCUUCAUAGUUCCUUUCAUUCUCGCGAAAGAUUUGUGCCCUAGCUUUCACUCGUUCAUCUUCAUUCUCUCAUUCGUCAUAUUAGAUUUUGAAAGUUUAAUACCUACAUGGUACAUGGACUUCUCCAAACAUCAAGAAUUUUGUAAGGAGGUGAUCAAUGUUGGGGAUAUUUCUUCGAUGAAAUCAAAAGCAGGUGGUGAUGGAAGCACUUGGCUAUUUAUAAUACUCUUUUGAAUCCUUGUGAUAGGAUUAUGGUUUUGGACCCACCUUCUAGUGUACAUUUGAGUCAUGGUUUUUAUACUGAUGGUGGGAAGAAGGUUUCUGCAGCAUCUAUUUUUUGAGGCUUUGUCUUAUAAGGUUAAUCUUUUGACUGGUUACAAUGAUUAUGAUAAACUUGAGGAGAAAGCAGGGGGAUUAUAGACCUGAAAUUCUUAUCCGUGGUGGUAGUUCUUAUCCUAUAGAAUGGGAAUAUGGAAGGUUUAGAAAGAUUUCUUUGGAGUUGUUUUCAUGUGUGACAUGGUUCGUAUUAGUGGCCUUGUUGCUGCUAAGG